GAUGAAGAACGUAGUGAAAUGCGAUAAGUAAUGUGAAUUGCAGAAUUCAGUGAAUCAUCGAAUCUUUGAACGCACAUUGCGCCCGCCAGUAUUCUGGCGGGCAUGCCUGUUCGAGCGUCAUUUCAACCAUCAAGCCCCCAGCUUGUGUUGGGGACCUGCGGCUGCCGCAGGCCCUGAAAAGCAGUGGCGGGCUCGCUGUCACACCGAGCGUAGUAGCAUACAUCUCGCUCUGGGCGUGCUGCGGGUUCCGGCCGUUAAACCACCUUCAUAACCCAAGGUUGACCUCGGAUCAGGUAGGAAGACCCGCUGAACUUAAGCAUAUCAAUAAGCGGAGGA
rnacentral:misc_RNA from 1 species